GCCGGGCGUGGUGGCGCAUGCCUGUAAUCCCAGCAGCUCGGGAAGCUGAGGCAGGAGGAUUAUGAGUUCAAAGCCAGCCUCAGCAAUUCAGCAAGGCCCUAAGCAAUUCAGCAAGACCCUGUCUCUA
rnacentral:sRNA from 1 species